GCCCCGCUAGCUCAAUGGUAGAGCAGCUGCCUCUUAAGCAGUUGGUUGGAGGUUCGAGUCCUCCGCGGGGCACCA
rnacentral:tRNA from 1 species